AGUCUUUCAUCGAUUGUCUAUAUUGUGAAAGAGAUAUAAUUAAUUUAGGCAUCAGUCUUCAUCAGCAAAAGUAAAAUUGAACCAUGUUUGUAUAGCCGUGUUUGUACGCAUAGCCUUGGCAUAUCAAUGCUUAAUUAAUGGCAAAACCAAACUGAAGAAGGGUCGCUACUCACUACUCAUCAAGGGGAGGCACCGGCAGGCCUAUCGCUGGAGAUGGCGGGGAAAGGAGUGGCCCGACUGCUCCAUAAAGUUCGUCCAUGGCGGCUUGGGCGUGGGAAGGCGAAGGAAGCCUAUGGGACGCAGUGGAUGGCCUCAGCUUGCCGUCCAUGGCAGCUACGGGGCAGGGAUGAGAUGGGAGGCGACGGGGGACGGUGGGACUCAGCCUCCAUUCCCGUUCAUGGUGUGGAGCUGGAGAUGGUGAAGGGGCAGCCAGAGAUGAUGGGGCGGCCGGAGGUGACGCUUCUCCGGGGAUUUUAUCCCUCUGUCGCCGGCAGGGUGGCGCUGGUGGCCGGUGGGGUGCUCGGGGAUGGGUAGGAGCACGGUGGAGGUAGAGCACAGCGUGGGAACGACGCUUCCGGAGGAGCAGGGAAAUCGUGCGUGGAAAAAGUUAUGGGCUAGGCCCGGACAGAACGCAGACCGGACACCCCAUUUCUCCCCCAAAUUUGGGCCAACUUUGGGGGAUAUGUCCAGACAAAAGUGACAAUUUGUCUGUUUGGGAUAGCCCAUUGGGAGAUGGUUUUUGGCCCAAUAUGUCCGUUUGUCCUAAAUAGGACAUUUGGGAUGGCUUUGGGGUAGCCAUUUGAGAUGCUCUAAAUUCCCUGGUCAAUAAAAAUCAACCUUCUCAAAAA